UACGUAGGGUGCAAGCGUUGUCCGGAAUUAUUGGGCGUAAAGAGCUCGUAGGCGGUUUGUCGCGUCUGCUGUGAAAACCGGAGGCUCAACCUCCGGCCUGCAGUGGGUACGGGCAGACUAGAGUGCGGUAGGGGAGAUUGGAAUUCCUGGUGUAGCGGUGGAAUGCGCAGAUAUCAGGAGGAACACCAAUGGCGAAGGCAGAUCUCUGGGCCGUAACUGACGCUGAGGAGCGAAAGCAUGGGGAGCGAACAGG
rnacentral:rRNA from 1 species